rnacentral:rRNA from 1 species
UCUCCGUGUUGUACACGGCGAAUUGUAAUCUAGAGAGUCCAUGCUCACCGGGUGGUGGCGCAGAAGUGCCCUGGAAUGGGCCGCCAGAGAGGGUGAGAGCCCCGUAUGUGGUGCCGCAACCUAACGAGCAGGUCUUCAAAGAGUCGGGUUGUUUUGUAUUGCAGCCCUAAGUGGGAGAUAAACUUCUUCUAAGGCUAAAUAUAUGUGGGAAACCGAUAGCGAACAAGUACUGUGAAGGAAAGAUGAAAAGCACUUUGGAAAGAGAGUCAAAAGACCUGAAACCGUUGAGGAGGAAGCGGUAGAGAUGAAUUCUACGGCGGCGCCCGGGGAAGGCGGUCUAAUCAUGGCGGGGAGGUCGUACGUCAAAGGCGGCCCUCUGUUCGAGAGGAAACCGGUGACUUGGGCGACGUUGUGAGGCCGGAUGGAGUCACGCGGCCGCAAAGGCUUUGCAGGACCGGUUGGUUUCGAUCAGCAGCCUGUGGAUGUCGGUGGAAGCGUGGCUUGAGGGUGCCUUGUGCGAUCCGGUCAAAAUGGUCUUUACCGACUCGUCUUGAAACACGAACCAAGGAGUCUA